UGGGGAAUAUUGCACAAUGGGCGCAAGCCUGAUGCAGCCAUGCCGCGUGUAUGAAGAAGGCUUUCGGGUUGUAAAGUACUUUCAGCGGGGAGGAAGGGAGUAAAGUUAAUACCUUUGCUCAUUGACGUUACCCGCAGAAGAAGCACCGGCUAACUCCGUGCCAGCAGCCGCGGUAAUACGGAGGGUGCAAGCGUUAAUCGGAAUUACUGGGCGUAAAGCGCACGCAGGCGGUUUGUUAAGUCAGAUGUGAAAUCCCCGGGCUCAACCUGGGAACUGCAUCUGAUACUGGCAAGCUUGAGUCUCGUAGAGGGGGGUAGAAUUCCAGGUGUAGCGGUGAAAUGCGUAGAGAUCUGGAGGAAUACCGGUGGCGAAGGCGGCCCCCUGGACGAAGACUGACGCUCAGGUGCGAAAGCGUGGGGAGCAAACA
rnacentral:rRNA from 1 species